rnacentral:lncRNA from 1 species
CUUCUGGUAGGUUUCUUUGAACUAAUAACAUAGCAUGAAAACCCACCCCAGUGUUAACAUAUUUUGAAUGCUUGCAUGAAUGACACAGAGAAAUACCUCAUUUGUGAGACCAGGGGAAGCUUCAGCUGGUAACCAGGGAAGACAGAUUCUGCCUUAGAAAAAAAGAGCAAGUGCAAAGCUGCAUCCAUCCUAAAAUCAUCGCCCACUUCUGGAGCAGCACAGACAUUACCUGAAUGCAAACACGCCCCUACCCUUUGCACUGCCUGGCUAGUCUCUUAAAUAAAGGGCAGAAUAAGCAGAGGAAGAGUUUGGCUAAGGACCAAGGAGCAGGUUUUGGGUUUGGGGUUUUUUUUAGGUAUUUAAAUGCCAAGACAUAAUCCAGCUCCCAGAAGGAUUUUCAAAAGCAGUUAGGAACCCAAAUUCUGAGAGUCCAUUGGUCCUUCUGAAAACCCUGUAUGGUAUCAAAUUAACUGCAUCCUUGGACAUCCAAAUACCCCUGUUUCUUUCUGCUGCUUCUGCUAGUGACCGUCCACCUUGACUUCAGCAGGGCAAAGUCUCUGUUGUGAAAAGCUGUGAAAUCUCUUCCCACUCUGUAGUUCACCUAGCUCCCUCCUGAAAGGGAAAGCUUACCCUUCUCUUCUUGCUUAAGGAAAGUGUUACUGCCUAUGAACUGAACUGAAACUGUAAGAACAGCACUCAACCCCCCCGCUGUGGCCACGCGGGUCUUUUCUGUACAGAGAACAGUUUGCUUUGAUCUGAUUCAGGUUUACUUGCCACAGAUUUCACUGAAUGUCUCUCUAACCUAAUAGCGCAGAUCUGUAGUUUCUUUUGUUUGGGUAGAAAUCCUCUCAGAUUGGUAAAUGAGGCACAGGCUCCAGUGUCCACCCCAGUUCCAUCGGAUGGUGAUGGGCCAAAUGCUGCUCUCUAUUUACACAUCUCUAUUGAUACAAACCAGGGUGCCCCUGUGGGUCUCGGGACAGUUGUUUGUAUACAUUCUGUCCUUGGAAAUAGGACACCGAUGUACUGCACAGAGAGUGCAAAGAGUUGCACAGCUUUUAUUACUUUUUUUUUUUCACUUUAUAGAAGAAAAUGUUCCCUUGAUGUGACAAAUACUGAGCAUGACUUUUGCUCAGUCUGCAAAUAGCAGAUUACUUAAUCAUCUGCUAUUAAAGUACCUGUUUGCUUUGUUAUGAAGUGAAACUUUUGAUCAAGAUCAUAUUACAUGUAAAGCAGCUUCCUGCAUCCGUAAAUAUUAAUCCUCAAGUACAAACAGACUAGUACAGGUAGUCCUAGGGUCACUUCAAUAAGCCUGAGCUUCUGCGUCCCACUCUCUAGUACCCCACAUUACAUGUUCCUCACCCUGUCUUUGUGCCAACACUAACGUUUUCUCAGCCUCUGGAUGACCUUGGCAGGAGGAUGGGGAUGGGGAGGUGAGCUGGGAGGGACCCGCUCCUGGGGGGACACAGGGACCAUCACCAGCUACUGGGAGCAAGGAGAGGGCAGGAAAACAUGGCCAGCUCUGAGGGGAAAGGGUCUGCCAAGCACUUGCGGGUCUUAGGAUGGACGCAAUGGGAAGGAGGCAACUGUGAACUGAGAGAAGCCCCUAGAAAAGGAAAAAUGGGGAAAUGGUGGGUGGUGAGAAGGAAAGGUGGAGCAGAAAGCGUCGAAGGCGGCAGGGGUCUGUGCAAGGAAUGAGGUUGUGAAAGGAAUGGGCAGGAGCAGAAGAGCAGAAGGCAGGAAGCCACAGGAAGGUAAGGGAGGAGAACGGCUGGUGCUGGGGGUGUGCAGGCACAGGCAGGAGUGCCGGAGGAGGACAUCGAGACUGGAAGGACGUGAGACAGCCCGAGGGGUAUGGGGUGUCCAACCCUGCCCCUUGCCUGGUCUUGCCGGCACCGGCAGCUCUCGGCGGGCCUGCCCUGCCCGCGAUGGCCUCGAGUCUCCGAGGCGCUGCCGUCGCACGGCAUUAACCGACGGGCGGAUGGCACGCGCGGCCGCUGGCACCCCUCGGCACGCGGGGAAGGAAGCCGUCUUGCCAAACGGGCGGGCGCUUUCCUCGGCCAGGAGCGAGCGGCCAGAGCAGGGAGGUGCAAUGCAUAAGGCAGCGCCUGGUGCUGCGGAGGAGGCCGCCGCGCUUCCCCCGUGGCCCAGCUCCC